rnacentral:tRNA from 1 species
AUAAAUAUAGCUUACUAAAAGCACCGAUUUUGUAAAUCGGAGACGCCUUGCUAUUUGUGC